GCCGCCAUAGUUUAAUGGAUAAAACAAGGGUUUCCUAAACCUUAGCUCCAGGUUCGACUCCUGGUGGCGGCACCA
rnacentral:tRNA from 1 species